GGUUUGAGAAGAAACGCGCGGAAGGGAUCAUUACCUAGAGUUGUAGGCUUUGCCUGCUAUCUCUUACCCAUGUCUUUUAAGUACCUUACGUUUCCUCGGCGGGUCCGCCCGCCGAUUGGACAAUUUAAACCAUUUGCAGUUGCAAUCAGCGUCUGAAAAAACUUAAUAGUUACAACUUUCAACAACGGAUCUCUUGGUUCUGGCAUCGAUGAAGAACGCAGCGAAAUGCGAUAAGUAGUGUGAAUUGCAGAAUUCAGUGAAUCAUCGAAUCUUUGAACGCACAUUGCGCCCCUUGGUAUUCCAUGGGGCAUGCCUGUUCGAGCGUCAUUUGUACCUUCAAGCUCUGCUUGGUGUUGGGUGUUUGUCUCGCCUCUGCGUGUAGACUCGCCUCAAAACAAUUGGCAGCCGGCGUAUUGAUUUCGGAGCGCAGUACAUCUCGCGCUUUGCACUCAUAACGACGACGUCCAAAAGUACAUUUUUACACUCUUGACCUCGGAUCAGGUAGGGAUACCCGCUGAACUUAAGCAUAUCAAUAAGCGGAGAAA
rnacentral:rRNA from 1 species